UACGUAGGUGGCGAGCGUUGUCCGGAUUUACUGGGCGUAAAGAGCGCGCAGGCGGCUGGUCAAGUCCGAUGUGAAAGCUCCCGGCUUAACUGGGAAAUUGCAUCGGAAACUGAUCGGCUGGAAGGUGGGAGAGGGUAGCGGAAUUCCCGGUGUAGUGGUGAAAUGCGUAGAUAUCGGGAGGAACACCAGUGGCGAAAGCGGCUACCUGGCCCAUUCGUGACGCUGAGGCGCGAAAGCUAGGGGAGCAAACGGG
rnacentral:rRNA from 1 species